AAUAAUAGAAAAAGAGAAAUUGGGGAUUAGGGUUAACCGUUUGCGCCGAUUCAACUUAUUCUUCUCCCCUCUCUCACUCAAACGCAGCGGCGGCGGAAACUCCACUUCUCCGAUGAAAGCGUGGUGGCACCAAUAUCAAAUGGCCGCGUGAUGAACAACGGUCACCUCUCCUUGACUCAACUCUCUCAGCUCUCGUCUCUAUGUUCUCUCCCGAUCUCCUCUAGUUGCGUCGAAGGUAUAUGGUGAGGUUGUUAUUGCCGAUGAAGAUUAGGGAAUUUAAAGAUUUCGGCGACAAUGAAGUUUGUUGAGGAUUGCAGAGGAUUGAAGAUGAGCCGAAGAAUUGUAUCAUAGUGAACAGAUGAAGAUGAAGCGUAAAUUUCUGGAAAUGUUGGAAGAGAAGGUUGAAGAUUGGAGACGAGGUUGCGGUGAAGUUGUUGUUCUUGAGGAUUAUGAAGAAAAGCAAGGUUAGGGAGUUCUCUUUGUAUGGUGAAAAGUAAGAUGAAGCGUUGGUUGAAGAUGGAUCGGAGGAGAGGCCGAAGGUCCUGUUAUGGUGAGUUGAAGGUGAUGAAGAUGAUGACUUCAGAGAGGAAUGAAGAUUGCUCGAUUCUUAAAGUUAGAGCUCAGUUCAGAGGUGGAGGAGAUGCUGCAAUGGAGGUUAUGGAGAUUGGAAGAGAGGUGGUGAAGAUGAGAAGGGAUCGAAAAUGGUUAAAGUGAAGGUGUGAAGUGAAGGUUGCAAUGAUGAAAUGGUGGAGAAAGAGAUGAGAAUGAUCGAGAGGGGAUGUGAAGAAUGACUGAGAGUCUGAAGAUUGAAGAAGACCUCUGUUAUGUAGAGAGGGAGAAUCUUGAUUCUGAAGGGCUGCAGCCAUAUAAUAUGUCAACUGGUGCAAUGGUAUAAUAAAUGUGAGCAAAGCUUGGAGAAUGAUACGGAAAUAUGAAGAUCCAGGAGUAAAUAUAGGAUGCUUAUAUUCUGUACAGGGUUUUUUAUGUCAAAGAUUUGUAAUGAGAUAUGAAUGGGUUUUGGUGAAAUAUUUGGAUGAUGAAACUUGGAUAAUGUAUGAUCUUGAAUAUAUGAAUGUCACCUUUGGAUAAA